rnacentral:ncRNA from 1 species
AAAGCUGAUUGUGAUAGUUCUUAGAUAUUCCCUCAAUAUCCAGCAACGAUUAUACAUGGAUGUAUAAUCGAGCGAAAACGAAACAUGGAUGUUUCGUAUGAGCGGUUGUGUCCGUAAACAAUACCUACAUGGAAUAUCUUAGAAAUAUCCAAUCAG